rnacentral:pre_miRNA from 1 species
AUUUUUGAGGGCCUGAUCCAAAGCCCACUGAAGUCAAUGAGAGCCUUUCCAUUGACUUUAAAGGGCUUUGGAUCUGAUUCUUGAUUGU